GAUGAACGCUGGCGGCGUGCCUAACACAUGCAAGUCGAGCGUGAUUGUAUGGAUUGAAGCUUCGGCGGAGAGAAAUACAUGAAAGCGGCGGACGGGUGAGUAACGCGUGGGCAACCUGCCCCAUACAGCGGAAUAGCCACUGGAAACGGUGAUUAAUGCCGCAUAAGACCACGGUGUCGCAUGGCACAGGGGUCAAAGAUUUAUCGGUAUGGGAUGGGCCCGCGUCUGAUUAGCUAGUUGGUGAGGUAACGGCUCACCAAGGCGACGAUCAGUAGCCGAGCUGAGAGGGCGGACGGCCACACUGGAACUGAGACACGGUCCAGACUCCUACGGGAGGCAGCAGUGGGGAAUAUUGCACAAUGGGCGCAAGCCUGAUGCAGCAACGCCGCGUGAGUGAAGAAGGCCUUCGGGUCGUAAAGCUCUGUCCUGUGGGAAGAACAAAUGACGGUACCACAGGAGGAAGCCCCGGCUAACUACGUGCCAGCCGCCGCGGUAA
rnacentral:rRNA from 1 species